UCGGGAAUUUUGGGCAAUGGGCGAAAGCCUGACCCAGCAACGCCGCGUGAAGGAUGAAGUAUUUCGGUAUGUAAACUUCGAAAGAAUAGGAAGAAUAAAUGACGGUACUAUUUAUAAGGUCCGGCUAACUACGUGCCAGCAGCCGCGGUAAUACGUAGGGACCAAGCGUUGUUCGGAUUUACUGGGCGUAAAGGGCGCGUAGGCGGCAAUUCAAGUCAUCUGUGAAAUCUCCGGGCAUAACUCGGAACGGUCAGAUGAUACUGCUUUGCUAGAGUGCAGAAGGGGCAAUCGGAAUUCUUGGUGUAGCGGUGAAAUGCGUAGAUAUCAAGAGGAACACCUGAGGUGAAGACGGGUUGCUGGGCUGACACUGACGCUGAGGCGCGAAAGCCAGGGGAGCAAACGGGAUUAGAUACCCCCGUAGUCCCUGAGCGGGCUGGCAAGGCGCAU
rnacentral:rRNA from 1 species